rnacentral:rRNA from 1 species
CCUACGGGAGGCAGCAGUGGGGAAUAUUGCACAAUGGGGGAAACCCUGAUGCAGCGACGCCGCGUGAGUGAAGAAGUAAUUCGUUACGUAAAGCUCUAUCAGCAGGGACGAAAUAGUGACCUUACGGUCAGAAGACGGUACCUGAGCAAGAAGCCCCGGCCAACUACGUGCCAGCAGACGCGGUAAUCCGUAGGGGGCAAGCGUUAUCCGGAUUUACUGGGUGGAAAGGGAGCGUAGACGGUGCGGCAAGUUGGGAGUGAAAUGCCGAAGGUUAACUGCGGAACUGCUUUUGAAACUGGCGGUCUAGAGUGCGGGAGAGGUAAGCGGAAUUCCUAGUGUAGCGGUGAAAUGCGUAGAUAUUAGGAGGAACACCGGUGGCGAAGGCGGCUUACUGGACCGUAACUGACGUUGAGGCUCGAAAGCGUGGGGAGCAAACAGGAUUAGAUACCCGGGUAGUC